CUGCUGCAUGGACGUGCACAAAGGCAGGAGCAAUAUGUGAGCAGGGCUCUCAUCCCCUGCCCUGCCCCUGUGCAGCCCUGGGAUGCCUGAGGACAAGACCUGCAUCUCUGAAGCCACACACACUCCUGGGCGCUGCCAGCCCUGCAGAGGACACAACACAGCCCUGCGUGUCCCGGUCCCAGUGUGCACAUGCCAGCUGCAGGCGGCGAGAGGGCAGAUUACAGCAGCAUCAGUUCAAAUCUUUGUUUGCGUUCCCACACCAAAAAGCCUACAAACAACCCUCCCCUGGGCUUCCAUGAAAUGAAGCUCAAUGUUCACAAGGUAGUGAAAAGCAAAAACUAAAAAAAUAAUAUAAGGGACUUGUUAUUCCCCAAACCAUGCAUUAUAAAUGUAGGAAAUCCACAAUUAGAGCUGCACUUUCAAAGCACAACCCAGAAAAAUCUUAGCAGAG